rnacentral:rRNA from 1 species
GAGUAAAGCGGCGAACUGGUGAGUAACAGGUGGGUAACGUGCCCUGAAGUUGGGGAUAACAGGCGGAAACGCUUGCUAAUACCGGAUGUGGUCCGCGAGAUCGAGGUCUUGCGGGUUAAAGACGCAAGUCGCUCCAGGAUCGGCCCGCCCCCGAUUAGCUAGUUGGUGAGGUAACGGCUCACCAAGGCUACGAUCGGUAGCUGGUCUGAGAGGAUGGUCAGCCACACUGGGACUGAGAUACGGCCCAGACUCCUACGGGGGGCAGCAGUCUAGAGGCUUCGGCAAUGGGGGCAGCCCUGACCGAGCGACGCCGCGUGUGGGAUGAAGGCCUUCGGGUUGUAAACCACUGUCAAGAGGGAAGAAUGCCUGGAUGGCGAAUCCGGGAGAGACGGUACCUCUGGAGGAAGCCCCGGCUAACUCCGUGCCAGCAGCCGCGGUAAUACGGAGGGGGCAAGCGUUGUUCGGAUUUACUGGGCGUAAAGGGUGUGUAGGCGGUUGCGCAAGUCUGGUGUGAAAUCUNNCCGCUCAACGGGAAGGGGUCACUGGAAACUGCGCAACUCGAGUAUGGUAGAGGCAAGCGGAAUUCCUGGUGUAGCGGUGGAAUGUGUAGAUAUCAGGAAGAACAUCGGUGGCGAAGGCGGCUUGCUGGGCCACUACUGACGCUGAGACACGAAAGCGUGGGGAGCAAACGGGAUUAGAUACCCCGGUAGUCCACGCUGUAAACGGUGCGCACUAGGUGUGGGAGGUAUCGACCCCUUCCGUGCCGCAGUCAACACAUUAAGUGCGCCGCCUGGGGAGUACGGCCGCAAGGUUGAAACUCAAAGGAAUUGACGGGGGCCCGCACAAGCGGUGGAGGAUGUUGUUUAAUUCGAAGCACGCGAAGAACCUUACCU